CAAUAGCGUAUAUUAAUGUUGUUGCAGUUAAAAAGCUCGUAGUUGGAUUUCUAGCGAGAGCGGCCGGUCCGCCCCUCACGGGGUGUGUUACUGCGUUGCCUCUGGCUAUCCUUGCGGAGAGGUCGUUGCGCAUUAAGUUGUGCGGCGGCGGAUCCGCAUCGUUUACUGUGAAAAAUUAGAGUGUUUAAAGCAGGCGUUUGCUGUGAAUACAUUAGCAUGGAAUAAUAAGAUAGGACUUUGGUUCUAUUUUGUUGGUUUCUAGGACCGAAGUAAUGAUUAAUAGGGACAGUUGGGGGCAUUUUUAUUCCAUUGUCAGAGGUGAAAUUCUUGGAUUAACGGAAGAAAAACUACUGCGAAAGCAUCUGCCAAGGAUGUUUUCAUUGAUCAAGAACGAAAGUUAGGGGAUCGAAGACGAUCAGAUACCAU
rnacentral:rRNA from 1 species